rnacentral:lncRNA from 1 species
AAAGUGUGCUGCAGUCACCCCUUGUUCAUAUGACUGCUUUCAAGACAGUUCCCUGUGCAUCCUGGUUACUGUCACAUAUAGUAAUCCCCAGACUGACUGGACGGCUCUCAAGUUGAGAUGGUGGUAGACCACGGAGAUGUCUGGGGACAUUGUUUAUGACAAUGAAGAUGUUGGGAGAAAACCACAUCUAUGAGGAGCCCAUCUAUGAAACUCAAGACACCAUCAAGCUUGCUGACUUGAGAAACAUGUUACCCCAAGGAGCAGACCAGGAGCUGAACACUCAGAUGACAGAGUAUAUAACAACCUGACUGAGGAGAGGGACCAGUUACAGAGGGAGAGAGACCUGUUGGUUUGGAAUUUGACUUGUGGUCUGUGAGC